AGCAGUAUGGUGUAUUGCGCACACGGGGUAUUCAUAGUCGCUUAUCGGUCGACCUUCACCCCGAGGUCCUUGUUCGAAUCAAGGUGCUGCUC